rnacentral:lncRNA from 1 species
AUACUUGUUUGAGCAUCCUUGCAUCCUGUGAUCGAUACUCCCAAGGUAAAGCCUACACUUUUAUUUAUGGAAGAAAUGAGGUUGGUAGAGGGGAUUGUCAGACAUGAUUUGCAAAGUUGUUGACUUGGUGAAUUUCGUUGCUAGACUAGGAUAUGGUAUAAUGUGCUUCUGAGAUUAGGAUUUUCUAAGCUGAUGAUUCUGAGUUUUGAAUUUGUGAGUCCCUGCUGUUUUCAAACCUCUUUCAGAGAGACUACCUGUAUGUUUUGCUUGAGGACAAG